UACGUAGGGUGCAAGCGUUAAUCGGAAUUACUGGGCGUAAAGCGUGCGCAGGCGGCUUUGCACGCCAGAUGUGAAAUCCCCGGGCUCAACCUGGGAACUGCAUUUGUGACUGCAUGGCUGGAGUGCGGCAGAGGGGGAUGGAAUUCCGCGUGUAGCAGUGAAAUGCGUAGAUAUGCGGAGGAACACCGAUGGCGAAGGCAAUCCCCUGGGCCUGCACUGACGCUCAUGCACGAAAGCGUGGGGAGCAAACAGG
rnacentral:rRNA from 1 species